AACUGGGUGUGUUCUAUGCUCAGCUUUUUCUGCUCAAUGAGCAUUUAAAUAGCCGCAGUACCCUGACUGUGCAAAGGUAGCAUAAUCAGUUGGCUCAUAAUUGGAGUCUUGUAUGAAGGAUCGCAUGGGUAGAGCCUGUCUCUAAACGAUAAAUAGAACUUUUUAAGUAAGUGAAAAUACUUGCUGGUAUUAUAAAAGACGAGAAGACCCUAGAAAUUUUUCAUUAAAAGCAUAUAAAAGUGCUUUGGUGUUUUGCUGGGGCGGCAGAGUAGCACUAAGCAACCUACUCUAUGUAUUAGACUUUUAUUUACAGACAAGCCAUAAUUACUCUAGGGAUAACAGCGUAAUUCUCUUUAGUGUUUGCGACCUCGAUGUUGGACUAGGGCGGUGAGCAUGCAGAAGGUGUUCUCUCACGUUCUGUUCGAACGACUUUCCCCUACAUG
rnacentral:rRNA from 1 species